UACGGAGGGGGCGAGCGUUAUUCGGAAUUAUUGGGCGUAAAGGGCGCGUAGGCGGCCCGGUAAGUCAAAGGUGAAAUCCCUCGGCUCAACUGAGGAAUUGCCUUUGAAACUGCAGGGCUUGAGUCCGGGAGGGGGUAGCGGAAUUCCCAGUGUAGCGGUGAAAUGCGUAGAUACUGGGAGGAACACCAGUGGCGAAGGCGGCUACCUGGACCGGAACUGACGCUGAUGCGCGAAAGCGUGGGGAGCAAACAGGAUUAGAAACCCUCGUAGUCC
rnacentral:rRNA from 1 species